UAGAAGUUUAAUGGCUCAGCUGCAGUUCAUACAGUUUGCAGGCAGGUUAGGCAGUGCGUAAGGUCACAGGCAGGUUAGGCUGUGGAGCAUCUGAACUCUAGUUCAUUAUAUGUGUUAUAUUAGUCAUAGUUAAGAGAGGUGACAGGAACGUAACUUUUUUUUUCCUAGCUGAGUUCUCUCUGAAAAUUGUACGUUUUGAAAGACGGUAACGUGACCUCCAUUUCCUGUCCAAAAUCUUUUACUGUGCUUCCUUGCUGAUAUCUCUGGCUCUUUCCUGUUUCUCAGUGUGCUGUGCACAGCAACUGUAUUUAUAAAACCGUGGUCUCUUACCAUACCCGUGACAGUGGUCAAUGUGUACUGGUUGGACGCCUGUGCUAAGCACCAUCAGUACCACAGCCGCUUCCCUCGGAUCCUGGGUGUCUCUCUCCAGGCAGUCCCUUUGCCUGGCUGACAUGCCUGGCAGAGGAUUCCCUGAAGGGAACCUUUUCCUCACAGCUGAUGCUGAGCACCUUACGUUCUGUGUCCAUCAUCGGAUCACCUCCACAGCCCCAUUUUAUACCACUGUUACAAUGAGAAAGAAUGUAGGCAAGGAUGGAAUGAAACGAAUUUAG
rnacentral:lncRNA from 1 species